CCGAGGGCCAGAAGCACAGGAGGUUGGAAAACGGACAUUUUCCUUCUGUUCUUAAACCAGUCAGUGAACAGCUGGGUACCGAGAAAAUGAGCAGGGGCGAUACAGUUGCCAUUAAAGGAGAAAAGAGUCGGUGAUCACACGGGGACUUUCAUGCAAUACCUGGAAGUGAUAUACAUCAUUUCAGCCCACAUUCUGUUGUCCAGAAAACAAUUGGAUGCACCAACCAAACUGAAAAGGCAACUGGGAAAUGGAAUCUUCACUGUGCUCAAGAAAAAAUAAAUAAGAUUGCUAAGCUUAUGGCAGGUCCCUGCCUCAGUUUUACC
rnacentral:lncRNA from 1 species